rnacentral:lncRNA from 1 species
GCUCCGAAAAUUUUUUGGGUGAAACCUCUGACGGUCCCCUGACGGCCUAUUAAAUGGUUCGGGUUGCUCUGGAGGGGCUAGGGGAGGCAUUUUCCAAAUCAAACAACCAAAACGACAAGAAUUACAUGCUUUUUUAUGAAUUUUGAUGGGUGUUAACCUACCCACGGAUCGGUGGGUGGAUGCAGGCUCUGAAAAAAAAAUUAAACAAAAAAUAACAGUAAUUGAGAAUUCUUUCAAUUUUUCAUCUAUGUUGACCUAUGAAUUAAUGGGUGCUAUGGGCGUCCAAAUGAGGUUUAGGUGAAACUCCUUGAGCCCACUCGUGACAACCUACUAAAUGAAUUAGGUUGUUUUAGAAAGGCGAAUGAAGCUUCUUUAAAAACAUAUGAUUGAGGAUUAUUUAAAUUUUUCAUCUAUGUUGACCUGUGGAUUAAUAGGAGAUAUGAAUGUUCGAAUGAGUUUUAAGCGACACUAAAAUAUUAUUCUAAAAGAAGCUGAAAUUUCCCAGUACAAUAUGCACUGAACUUCAUCACUAUAUAACAAUGUUGUAAGUCACAUUUAAACUCUUUUGUACAAGAACUCUAGUGAAAUCUUUCAUGUUUGAAUUAUUGCCCAUGAUGAAAACCUCAACCUACAAUACCAGAGAAUCCAAAUAUAUCCUAAACCACUUGAGCAGCCAGCAGCAUAUACAAAAGCUAUUGUCCUGAAUGUGUUUGAUCCAAUCUGCAGUGACAACAUCAACAAUGAGUCAAUUUACAUUCAACUAUCAUCAACCUAAGUAAGGCAGAAAAUUUUAUAUAUUAUUUCUAAAAUAAACAUCAAUUAGCCCCAUGGUAGAAAAGCCACACCUACUUCAUCCUACAACGACAGGAGAAACGAUGAAGAUAGAAGACCAUAAUUCCUAUUGUACUAUUUCCAAGAAAAAACAUUCGCAUACAAGCA